AGGACCAGGUCAGUAUCUUAGAGAAGAAAUGAUCAUCUGGAUUACCUAGAAUGAACUAUGAGAACUGAUGGUUGGAUCUGUUCUAACCAUUCAGGAGGGUAAACAUUCUGAUGGAGUAAACAUUCAGCAACUCGUGAUGAUGUCCUUUCACAUGCUUCUCCUAUGUACCUCUGCAAAUCUGAAUAAAUGUGGGGAAAGAGGCAAGAAGGGAAGACCAUCAGAAGAAUCUAAAGUGGUCUUUCAGGGUGAGUCUAACAGAGAAGAGAAGAGCAGGGAAGGGAAGAGAGAGAAGAGAAGAGAAGAGAAGAGAAGAGAAGAGAAGAGAAGAGAAGAGAAGAGAAGAGAAGAGAAGAGAAGAAUCUCUGUGGAAAUAUUUGCAAAGUCAUAGCAAAGGAUAAUUGAAUUACACCUAUUGACAUGGGAAUAAAAGUUUUAAAUUA
rnacentral:lncRNA from 1 species